UCAAAUGUCUACUGACCACAGUGAUGAUUGGAAGCUAGCAAAAAGCCAAGACUGUAUUGGCUUUCAACUUUCAAUGCUAAGAGGCCAAAAAAUUCUUUUUAUAUCUGAUAGAACUAUUUGGAGAUAUUGCAGUUGCGCCCAAACCCUUCCCCUUCCUUACAUCAAAUGUGGUAGGAAUCCGUCUUUCUGUAAUACCGUUAAUUACAGGCUCCAGAGCUGGAGCUGUGGCGAAGGGACUGAAGGACAUCUCGGGCUGAGGGUACAGCGCAGCAGGCCUCUAAUGGAAGGGCAAGAGAUUCCACCACCAGCUAUGAUCACAUGCCAUCAGCAAGGUGAUAACUCCAGGCUCUCUGAGACUCGGCUACUGCUGGCAAGGGGAUGGCUGAUCUCGGCAGCAAAGGCAGAGCCCCUGGAGGUACAGCUAGCCUGACAUAGGGAUAUUGGACACACUGCACAGCAGACUGGGAGACUGUAGUUGUCAAUCUAAAUAAAGAGCUUAAUAAUCUUCAGUUUAUGUAUAUUCCUCC